rnacentral:lncRNA from 1 species
UGCUCUCAGACUCCACGCCCGUGGGAGUAGUGAGAGGCAUAGGAUGGGACAGAAGGAGAUGCUAAACAGUGAUGCAGAAGCAGCGAAGACCUCCGCAAUCCUGCAGGGAAGCUUGGGAGCUGGUACGGCCCUGCAGAGAUGCACUGAGGGAAGCCAAGCUGCCAUGUUGUAAGCUGCCCUAUGAAGGGACCCACAUGGCAAAGAAUGGAGAAUGACCCCAGCCAGCCAAGAACUCUCAGCCUACCGGCCCAUGAGGAACUGAAUCCUGCCAACAGCGAUGUGAGUGAACUUGGAAGUGGAUCCUUCUCCAGUGGCACCAUCAGCAGUUUGAGGAAAAUAAACUUGAAUAUAUCAGUCCUAAUCCAGAAAGGCUUGAGAUGGUUGGUUGGAGAGUGUUUUCCAUGAUGUUGGCCUGAAGCCCUUCAGCCACUUUGAACAGGGUGCCCCCACUGGUGUCCUGAAGCUCAUCCUGCACCAAGCAGAAGCGAGCAGAAGAACCCCACACCCUGCCCCUGCUGCAACACACUCACCUGGAGACCUAAAAUGUGACCUCCAUGUCCCCUCUGUGAGAACAGCUUCUUCCACCUCUGCUGUGGGGAACAGCAGCAUCCCAGGCAGAGGGAACUGCAUAUGCAAGGAACCUGGGUGGGGUGGGGGGCAAUGGUGGCCGGCGUUUGAAGAACAGUAAGGCAGUCAAUGUUGCUGGAGCCCAGAGAGAUAAUGAAAGGUGGAUGACGUGGGGUCUUAUAGGUCACCAUGAGAGCUUUACUCUAAGGUGUUGGGAAGCCAGACACCUGCAGACAUGUCUGCAAAUACCUUUGAGGUUUGUCUGAAUCCUCAGCUGCAGAGGAAAACACAGGAAGUAUGGGAGUUCCCCACAAGAGUUCACAUUUGAACUAGGUUGUUUUUUUUUUAACCGCAACCUCUGCCUCCUAGUUGCAAGUGACUCUCCUGUCUCAGCCUCUCGAGUAG